GGAUCUGGGCAACCCAAUCCUUUAAUUGGUUGGGCCUGCCCGGAAAACCUACAAUUUAUUGAUCGACAGUUUGUUAAACAUUCGCCCCAAUUAGUAAAACGAAUAAUCAAAUCGUUGAUGUUUAGCUCCUCCCUCUCUCUCUAUCCUGAGAUCGGCAAGGUGCAAAUCUGCAAUCGAGAAUGAAUUAUGGACCGCUCAUCAACCUCGAAAUCUCUCUUUUGAAAUGACUGAAUCAAGAUUCAGCUCUAUUCCAGUUGCUUCACUAUUUCUACUUUCGGCACACCCUACAAUCGAUAAUACUUGUCAGGCAAAACCAUAGCACAUUCACUCAAUUGAAGUGAAACAUUGUGUAUAUUGAAAUGCUAGCUCAAAAGGAAAAACAAUUGACCGCAGGAACUACAAAAUUGAUCCUGUCAAGAGAUUGGACACUUGGAUACUACAUAAGAACUGGGUGCAAAUCUCAUUCUCCAACUUCUGCCAGUCGCAAGUGGAAAGCUGAUGGAACUUGGACUCGAUCUCUCAGGAGGCAGCUGAUGAGACUGGAAUGAUGGAAUAGUCGACGAAGCUGCCUGCUGUUGAAGUUUCCCCUCCUUCCACCUUAAAUAUGACUGCUGUAACUUCCAUGGAACCUGUCUUCAAAGGACAAAAUUAUUAAUUUGAACUUUAACGUUGCAUGAUAUUAGUCAGGAGCGAUAUCCAAAUUUAGUAAUGUGGGGAUGUACAACAUAGUGAUUAUGUUGAUUAGAAUUUGACGUGGCUGAAUUUAGAGAGAGAGUGGAGUGGCCUUACUAACUGAUCUAACAAUUU